AUACGGAGGAUGCGAGCGUUAUCCGGAUUUAUUGGGUUUAAAGGGUGCGUAGGCGGAAAGUUAAGUCAGCGGUGAAACGCAGGUGUUCAACACCUGACCUGCCGUUGAGACUGGUUUUCUAGAAUGCGGAUGCUGUGGGAGGAAUGUGUGGUGUAGCGGUGAAAUGCAUAGAUAUCACACAGAACACCGAUUGCGAAGGCAUCUCACAAAUCCGCGAUUGACGCUGAGGCACGAAGGUGCGGGGAUCGAACAGGAUUAGAUACCCUGGUAGUCCGCACAGUAAACGAUGAUAACUCGCUGUCGGCGAUAGACAGUCGGUGGCCAAGCGAAAGCGAUAAGUUAUCCACCUGGGGAGUACGACCGCAAGGUUGAAACUCAAAUGAAUUGACGGGG
rnacentral:rRNA from 1 species